rnacentral:rRNA from 1 species
UACGUAGGGUGCAAGCGUUGUCCGGAAUUAUUGGGCGUAAAGAGCUCGUAGGCGGUUUGUCGCGUCUGCUGUGAAAACCCGAGGCUCAACCUCGGACUUGCAGUGGGUACGGGCAGACUAGAGUGUGGUAGGGGAGACUGGAAUUCCUGGUGUAGCGGUGGAAUGCGCAGAUAUCAGGAGGAACACCGAUGGCGAAGGCAGAUCUCUGGGCCGUAACUGACGCUGAGGAGCGAAAGCAUGGGGAGCGAACAGG